rnacentral:rRNA from 1 species
UACUACCCCAGAAUCUGGAAUAACCGGCCGAAAGGCUGGCUAAUACUGGAUAGAGCGACGGAAUCCGUAAUUGGGUUUUUCGGGAAAGGGAGGCAGCAAUGCCCCUCGUUUUGGGAUGAGCCUGCGUCUCAUUAGCUAGUUGGUGGGGUAACGGCCCACCAAGGCAUUGAUGAGUAGCUGGUCUGAGAGGAUGAUCAGCCACACUGGAACUGAAACACGGUCCAG